rnacentral:rRNA from 2 species
GUUCCCGGGCCUUGUACACACCGCCCGUCACACCAUGGGAGUGGGUUGCACCAGAAGUAGCUAGUCUAACCUUCGGGGGGACGGUUACCACGGUGUGAUUCAUGACUGGGGUGAAGUCGUAACAAGGUAGCCGUAGGGGAACCUGCGGCUGGAUCACCUCCUUAAU